rnacentral:tRNA from 1 species
GCUCACUUGGCUCAGUGGUUAAGAGCACUGACUGCUCUUCCAGAGGUCCUGAGUUCAAAACCCAGCAACCA